rnacentral:rRNA from 1 species
GGUUAAGCGACUAAGCGUACACGGUGGAUGCCCUGGCAGUCAGAGGCGAUGAAGGACGUGCUAAUCUGCGAUAAGCGUCGGUAAGGUGAUAUGAACCGUUAUAACCGGCGAUUUCCGAAUGGGGAAACCCAGUGCAAUUCGUUGCACUAUCAUUACGUGAAUACAUAGCGUAAUGAAGCGAACCGGGGGAACUGAAACAUCUAAGUACCCCGAGGAAAAGAAAUCAACCGAGAUUCCCCCAGUAGCGGCGAGCGAACGGGGAGCAGCCCAGAGUCUGAAUCAGCUUGUGUGUUAGUGGAACGGUCUGGAAAGUCCGACGGUACAGGGUGAUAGUCCCGUACACCAAAAUGCACAGGUUGUGAACUCGAAGAGUAGGGCGGGACACGUGGUAUCCUGUCUGAAUAUGGGGGGACCAUCCUCCAAGGCUAAAUACUCCUGACUGACCGAUAGUGAACCAGUACCGUGAGGGAAAGGCGAAAAGAACCCCGGCGAGGGGAGUGAAAAAGAACCUGAAACCGUGUACGUACAAGCAGUGGGAGCCUCUUUAUGGGGUGACUGCGUACCUUUUGUAUAAUGGGUCAGCGACUUAUAUUCUGUAGCAAGGUUAACCGAAUAGGGGAGCCGAAGGGAAACCGAGUCUUAACUGGGCGUUAAGUUGCAGGGUAUAGACCCGAAACCCGGUGAUCUAGCCAUGGGCAGGUUGAAGGUUGGGUAACACUAACUGGAGGACCGAACCGACUAAUGUUGAAAAAUUAGCGGAUGACUUGUGGCUGGGGGUGAAAGGCCAAUCAAACCGGGAGAUAGCUGGUUCUCCCCGAAAGCUAUUUAGGUAGCGCCUCGUGAAUUCAUCUUCGGGGGUAGAGCACUGUUUCGGCUAGGGGGUCAUCCCGACUUACCAACCCGAUGCAAACUGCGAAUACCGAAGAAUGUUAUCACGGGAGACACACGGCGGGUGCUAACGUCCGUCGUGAAGAGGGAAACAACCCAGACCGCCAGCUAAGGUCCCAAAGUCAUGGUUAAGUGGGAAACGAUGUGGGAAGGCACAGACAGCCAGGAUGUUGGCUUAGAAGCAGCCAUCAUUUAAAGAAAGCGUAAUAGCUCACUGGUCGAGUCGGCCUGCGCGGAAGAUGUAACGGGGCUAAACCAUGCACCGAAGCUGCGGCAGCGACACUAUGUGUUGUUGGGUAGGGGAGCGUUCUGUAAGCCGUUGAAGGUGUGCUGUGAGGCAUGCUGGAGGUAUCAGAAGUGCGAAUGCUGACAUAAGUAACGAUAAUGCGGGUGAAAAACCCGCACGCCGGAAGACCAAGGGUUCCUGUCCAACGUUAAUCGGGGCAGGGUGAGUCGACCCCUAAGGCGAGGCCGAAAGGCGUAGUCGAUGGGAAACAGGUUAAUAUUCCUGUACUUGGUGUUACUGCGAAGGGGGGACGGAGAAGGCUAUGUUGGCCGGGCGACGGUUGUCCCGGUUUAAGCGUGUAGGUGUGUGUUCCAGGUAAAUCCGGAAUGCUUUAACACUGAGGCGUGAUGACGAGGCACCACGGUGCUGAAGUGACAAAUGCCCUGCUUCCAGGAAAAGCCUCUAAGCAUCAGGUAACACGAAAUCGUACCCCAAACCGACACAGGUGGUCAGGUAGAGAAUACCAAGGCGCUUGAGAGAACUCGGGUGAAGGAACUAGGCAAAAUGGUGCCGUAACUUCGGGAGAAGGCACGCUGAUAUGUAGGUGAAGUGAUUUACUCAUGGAGCUGAAAUCAGUCGAAGAUACCAGCUGGCUGCAACUGUUUAUUAAAAACACAGCACUGUGCAAACACGAAAGUGGACGUAUACGGUGUGACGCCUGCCCGGUGCCGGAAGGUUAAUUGAUGGGGUUAUCCGUAAGGAGAAGCUCUUGAUCGAAGCCCCGGUAAACGGCGGCCGUAACUAUAACGGUCCUAAGGUAGCGAAAUUCCUUGUCGGGUAAGUUCCGACCUGCACGAAUGGCGUAAUGAUGGCCAGGCUGUCUCCACCCGAGACUCAGUGAAAUUGAACUCGCUGUGAAGAUGCAGUGUACCCGCGGCAAGACGGAAAGACCCCGUGAACCUUUACUAUAGCUUGACACUGAACACUGGUCCUUGAUGUGUAGGAUAGGUGGGAGGCUUUGAAGUGUGGACGCCAGUCUGCAUGGAGCCGACCUUGAAAUACCACCCUUUAAUGGCUGGUGUUCUAACGUGGGCCCGUGAUCCGGGUUGCGGACAGUGUCUGGUGGGUAGUUUGACUGGGGCGGUCUCCUCCCAAAGAGUAACGGAGGAGCACGAAGGUUAGCUAAUCCUGGUCGGACAUCAGGAGGUUAGUGCAAAGGCAUAAGCUAGCUUGACUGCGAGAGUGACGGCUCGAGCAGGUGCGAAAGCAGGUCUUAGUGAUCCGGUGGUUCUGAAUGGAAGGGCCAUCGCUCAACGGAUAAAAGGUACUCCGGGGAUAACAGGCUGAUACCGCCCAAGAGUUCAUAUCGACGGCGGUGUUUGGCACCUCGAUGUCGGCUCAUCACAUCCUGGGGCUGAAGUAGGUCCCAAGGGUAUGGCUGUUCGCCAUUUAAAGUGGUACGCGAGCUGGGUUUAGAACGUCGUGAGACAGUUCGGUCCCUAUCUGCCGUGGGCGCUGGAGAAUUGAGGGGGGCUGCUCCUAGUACGAGAGGACCGGAGUGGACGCAUCACUGGUGUUCGGGUUGUCAUGCCAAUGGCACUGCCCGGUAGCUAAAUGCGGAAGAGAUAAGUGCUGAAAGCAUCUAAGCACGAAACUUGCCCCGAGAUGAGUUCUCCCUGACCCUUUAAGGGUCCUGAAGGAACGUUGAAGACGACGACGUUGAUAGGCCGGGUGUGUAAGCGCAGCGAUGCGUUGAGCUAACCGGUACUAAUGAACCGUGAGGCUUAACCUU